AAAGCGCUGGGAUUACAGGUGUGAGCCACCAUGCCUGGCCAAGAGGUAUUUUAAAGGCAACAUGAGGAGUUUGUCUUCUGGACACAUGAAAGUCCAAAUGCCCUGGAUCUGAUGUUUGAUAAGAUAUCUUUUCACUAUCCAUAAUUGGAAAGGAAAUUCUGAUGGAGGAAUCAAAUAAAAUUCAUAAUAAACAGGACAUAAUUGAAUGGCAAGGAGAGAGGUAGUCGCCCUUCGACGAAUGUCUGUCUUAGUGCCAGCGCUCUUCUGGAGGCUUAUAGCUGUAGUCAGAUGAGCCCCGCUAUGCCUGGCUUAACUUCAUGAAAGUUUUGUGACAUAAUAAACAAGGUGUGGUGGGAACCAGAGUGAGACUCAGGCUGGUCGAGCCUUGCCUAAGCACUCAGGAACAGGAUCAUGUGAAACAAUACCUUCCCCAGGUCAUGGCUACGUCGGGCAUCAGCACUUUGCUUAUUUCCUGCCAAAGCCCAGCUUCUGAUCUUCUUUUUUGAUGGAAUUAGAAAGGAAUGGCUUCACCAAAUCAAUGGCUGUGUAGAAUGUACCUGAGACAUUAUUC
rnacentral:lncRNA from 1 species